UACGUAGGGGGCAAGCGUUGUCCGGAUUUAUUGGGCGUAAAGAGCGUGUAGGCGGUUCGGUAGGUCCGUUGUGAAAACUCGAGGCUCAACCUCGAGACGCCGAUGGAAACCCUCGAACUAGAGUCCGGAAGAGGAGAAUGGAAUUCCUGGUGUAGCGGUGAAAUGCGCAGAUAUCAGGAAGAACACCCGUGGCUAAGGCGGCUCACUGGCCCGAUACUGACGCUGAGGCACGAAAGCGUGGGGAGCAAACAGG
rnacentral:rRNA from 1 species